rnacentral:rRNA from 1 species
UACGGAGGGUGCGAGCGUUGUCCGGAAUCACUGGGCGUAAAGGGCGCGUAGGCGGCCUGUUAAGUCGAACGUGAAAUCCCUGGGCUCAACCCAGGAACUGCGUCCGAUACUGGCAGGCUUGAAUUCGGGAGAGGGAUGCGGAAUUCCAGGUGUAGCGGUGAAAUGCGUAGAUAUCUGGAGGAACACCGGUGGCGAAGGCGGCAUCCUGGACCAAUUCUGACGCUGAGGAGCGAAAGCCAGGGGAGCAAACGGG